UUACAUCUCUUCGGAGCAUUUACGUAGGUGCUGCAUGGUUGUCGUCAGCUCGUGCCGUGAGGUGUCGGGUUAAGUCCCAUAACGAGCGCAACCCCUACCUUAGUUGCCAUCAGGUAAUGCUGGGGACUCUAAAGGAACUGCCUACGCAAGUAGUGAGGAAGGCGGGGAGUGACGUCAAAUCAGCACGGCCCUUACGUCCAGGGCUACACACGUGCUACAAUGGCCGAUACAGAGGGCAGCUACCUGGUGACAGGAUGCAAAUCUCCAAAGUCGGUCUCAGUUCGGAUCGGAGUCUGCAACCCGACUCCGUGAAGUUGGAUUCGCUAGUAAUCGCGCAUCAGCCAUGGCGCGGUGAAUACGUUCCCGGGCCUU
rnacentral:rRNA from 1 species